GACGAACGCUGGCGGCGUGCCUAAUACAUGCAAGUCGAACGCAGUGGGGACGGGUGAGUAACACGUGGGUAACCUCCCAUCAGAGGGGAGAACACUUGGAAACAGGUGCUAAACCGAUACUGAUGGAUGGACUCGCGGGGCAUUAGCUUGUGGGUGAGGUAACGGCUCACCAAGGCCACGAUGCAUAGCCGCCCUGAGAGGGUGAUCGGCCACACUGGGACUGAGACACGGCCCAGACUCCUACGGGAGGCAGCAGUAGGGAAUCUUCGGCAAGGGGCGAAAGUCUGACGGAGCAACGCCGCGUGAGUGAAGAAGGUUUUCGGAUCGUAAAGCUCUGUUGUUAGAGAAGCGUUACCUAACCAGAAAGCCACGGCUAACUACGUGCCAGCAGCCGCGGUAAUAC
rnacentral:rRNA from 1 species